UAGUACUAGUAGCAUUGAUUAACGUCACUUCCUCUCUGUCAAAUCAGGAUGUACCGAUGUACAAUAGUUUGACCGCGGAAAGGAUGUUAAUUCACAUACUGAACAAUCCGAAAAGGACAGAAAAGCUAAAUGCAUCAGUUCAUGCUAUCGAAAUCAGCUAAAGUAUCAGUGCUGUUACAAAAGAAUACAGCGAGAACAAUGAUAGUUCAACUAUACUGAAAAAGAUCCCUAACUAUACUGAAAAAGAUCCCUAACUAUACUG